UCCCUGGUGGCCUAGAGGUUAAGGCUCUGGCAUUGCCACUGCUGUGGCUUGGGUUGCUGCUGUGGCACGGGUUCGAUCCCUGGCCUGGGAA
rnacentral:tRNA from 1 species